AGCAAGCAUGCCAUCGCUACCCUGUGGGAGGAGUAGGCUGAUUUACUUGAUGCCAAUGGAUUGGAUUUAUUGGUUAGUCAGUACUCAGGUUUUUUGGUCUUCCAAAGUACAUCUGUUACAAGGUGGCAUGUUAAUGUGCCGAUUCCUAAGAUUGCUGUUGUCCGAGAGAGGUUUGUUUUCUGUGAAAUCUGUACCAAUCGAGUAUCGAGAUUAGUAUUUGUUUGGUAAAAUAUGCAUUUUGCAUAUGUUACAUGGUCUUCAAAAUUACAUCUGAUGCAAGGUGGCAUGUUAAUGUGCCGAUUCCAGAGAUUGCUAUUGUUCGAGAGAGGUUUGUUUUGUGAGAAAUCUGUACCAGUCCAGUGUAUUUUGCAUAUGCUAUGUGUCAAAGCAUCUGUCGUGGUAUUUAGCUACACAGUGGAAACCAAGGCGAAAUAGAGAAAUUUAGAAGAAUUGUAGUUGACUAGAUUUGCUUCGAAGUUGAAAACUAGCAAAUUUUCUCCCAGCAUGUUCAUUGUAUCUCUUUUCUUCUUUGCCUUUCUAGCUGCACUAUGGAUCUGUAUCCCUCAAUACAACUGUUUUGCAGCGCUGCUAGGUUUGGUCGUUCUUCGGCUUACUUUUGCAGUGUAGCUGCUUAGUUAAUAGUUCACAUCAAAACACUUCUUUUUUCUAGGAUCCAUUGCCAUCACUGAAUAGUUAGAUACUGAAAGAGAUGCUAUAUUUUGUCUAUGCACAUUUUGUAGUCGUUUUAUGGAUUCCAUUUGAAUUGAUUUGUUUUUGGGACAUAGUGGAUUGAUUGUAUUGAUACCUUGCUCGACCUUCAAAUUGUUUCAUGUUGAUUUUUGAUCUACUACCUUCAUUUUCUGGAGCAUGUUUUGUUCUCUACGGGUAUAGAUUCAUGACAGAAAAAUCAAACAUUUAUGCUUGGUUGAUGUAGGACUGGUGUGAUGCCAACGCACACUCCUGUGUAGUUUGCUCCCAAUUUUCAUGCACUAAUAAAUGCAAUCAACAUUAUAAUUACUAUUAUUAACACACACUCUUACUAUUAUUAACAAAAAUAUUUACCUCUAUGAAUUUAGUUACUGUUAACACUCCGUUUUUUUUGUUGUUAAGGUAAAUCUGAAGGCAAUGAUAUCAACUCAAUGGUCAAUGCACUGUGUAUGCUGGAAUCUUCAACGACUCUUAUCCAUGACCAGUUAUUGAGGUGAAGUGGCUGACAUGGUUUUGUUUCUAGCUUUGAAAGAAUAUCAGUACGUAUUAUUUUUUUGCUAUCUUAGUCUUACCAUGAGCAUUUACUUUUGAAGAGUUGUGCCUCUCCUGGUAGCUGGAUUUUAUUUAUUGUUGAUAGAUGAAAAGAAUAUUCACCGAACUUUAGGGCUUGAUAUUUUUAUGGACUCAUGUAUUUGUAUUGUUCAUCUUUUUAUAUGCAAUGUCCAAAUAAAUGGAUUUCAUUUACCCGUUUACAGGCCAUUUGUUUUCAAACUUGAGAUACAUUGCCAUCGCCACUUAUUUAUAUCACAUGAUUAACAUUUGGUGGAAAAUAUAGGCAGGAGAAAUAUUGUUUCAACGAAGAAACUCUCCCUUUUUUGCCGAUUGCUGAAUUUGGUUCAUUUUGUCAACUAUUCUCCAACCAGUUAGUGACAUAUAGUUUAAUUUGUCUCAUGUCAUUGUGCAGUUCGACCAAAGAGGGGCCCGGAAUAAUCUCGACAAGCUGUUUACAUAAUAGACAGUUUUUCUUUCAUUAGUUCAAUGUUUCUGCUACAUGGGUACUCCAUAGAUGAAGGUUCAUGAAUUGUGUCAACUUAUUUCUUAAAAAAUGCAUUAUCGUAGCUUUUAAGAAAUUAUCUAGGAGGUUUUGUUUCGAGGGAAUAUGAUAUUCAGCCUAAACUAAAAAAAGAAUCAAAAUUAUUUUAGUUAGCCAUGAAAAUACGAAGUAUGCUCUUAAGUUGAGAAGCUUAGCCCUGGGAUGUUGCAAGUAUCUCCUUUUCUCAUUAUCUUCCAAUUUGUAUUAUAUGUGACCUGAAUUAUUUAUGCAGAAUAUGGUUUACGGUAAAUUUUACUAGAGGGGUUCAUACAUAGAAUUGCAAGUCAAACCCUGAAUACCUGCGCAGUAGUUUUUCAUCUGGGUUCAGGAAGCAUGAAGAGGAGAAACACUAUUACGAACCUUCAAAAGCAAGGAAUGUAUAUGCACAAUACAUUCUUUUACCCAUGAACUUUGUAUUCUACAAACAUAUGAUGCUUUCUUUCGGGCUCCCUUGCACGUUCGACAUUAAAUAACUGAGAUGCCAAAUUAUUUUAUAGUUCAUUGAAAGUAAAAUUUACCAAUGCAAUUGUGUAGCUCCCAUGUGAUAUCGUAUUACCCUGCCAUGCUGCCAUGUGUUGGCAAUGGUUGGCUAAACAAAUUAGCAGUCCUCUUUGAGUGCAACAAUAUAAAUUAGCAGCAGUCCUCUACCAAUAUCAUGUGUUUCACGAAGGAGUUUUUUUAGUGUCACAAAAUUUCCUGUUACAUUAUGUAUGUUAUUCAUUUAGUACAUACUCUCCUUCAUCUGUCAAAAUAAUUUCCUCUCAUGCGCAGUAAUUUAUUCAUUGAAAGGUGACCAUGGAAACUUAUGUGUUGUAUUUC